rnacentral:rRNA from 1 species
UUCUACUGCCUGUCACCUGUUAUGUGCCCGACCUCAUCAGAUCUUGGAAGCUUAGCAAAGUUGAGCCUGGAUAGUGCUUAGAUGGGCGAUUACUAUGAACAACAGGUGUCAUCGGCAGUGGAGC